AUCACCAGGAGCAAAGGGCCCUUACCUCUGCCCAGCCUGGACCCCCCGGGGGCAAAGCCUAACUCAUGCUUUUGGUCAGCUCCAUGUUACGGAAAUAGCAGAGGAUGUUCCCUUUUUAUUAUUAUUAUUCCCACAGGUCCAGAACCAAAUUCAGCCUUGACAUAGGUAGAUCUGCCAAGUAGGCACUACUGUGGUUUUGAUCCUGCUCCUCCAUCUGGAUCAAAGAUUUUGAAGGUUUUCCUUUUCUGUUGCAUUUUCACUCUUGCAUUUCUGGCUCCAAGGUCAGGUUGUUGCAGCAGGCAAGAGCGUUCAGGCUUCCUCACUCAUUCCUCCAUGCUCCGAGACUUUAAAGAAAGGUCAAAAUAGGCUUUAAUCAUAGGAUUGGUGACAUUUGGUGGUAGAAGAGACCAUCUACAGCAGAAAAGGAGGUCAGAGCCAUGCGGUCACCCCAUCCUUCUGGAUCUGCUUUUUCCACCUGCAGAGGAGGCUGCAUCCUGCUUGAAGACCGCCUUGUGCUAAAUUCUGCCUAUUCACGGGACAGGAAGAUGCUUUCUGCCCCAGAGAGCUCAUAACACAAGAAAAGAAACAGCAAAUGGAAAAGCAGGUGUGAUGGUGCCCAGCAGCACCGCGAUGGGACCCUUCCACUCUCAACGUUAAAGGCUCGAAAAUCAGAAGCAACUCGAAAGUCCCCGCAUUUGAGCAAGAGGCGAAUCAGAACCCGACAGCUCCCGCUGUCUCCGUUUCCCUGACCCUAUGGAGAGUCAUCCCACAUGCCCACCCAGGCAUGAGAAAUUCAGGGUGAGCAUUUUCGGAAGGUUUCACACAGUCUUUGAUGUCUCCUAGCCUGGGAAAUCGGUUCCCCUUCUGCUUCCCAGCAUGGAAGGUCUCCCUGUGGUAUCUGCAAGAGAUAAUGCUCCCUUUCACUGUCUGAGCUCUGGGCCAGCCUGACUGUUUGCCUCUCCUCUCCGGGGCUGCAGAAGGGACGUUUCCCUCCAGAUAUUGCAGAAGGGCCCUUUCGGAGAGGCUGCUCCGUCUGCAGAGCUGGGCAGUCCGAGCUGCUCCUCUCCAUUCUCACAGAGAUUGAGUUAUGCCAGGCUUUGACCUAAGUGAAACUGCUGACGGUCACAGGGAUUUGACUAAUCUCCUUAGUUCGCUGUGAAAUUUGCUAUUCCUUUUAGGGAAUAGAUUUUUAUUUUUUUUAUGAUUUUUUUUUCCCUUCGGGCUAACUCGCAAUGUAAAAAUAAACCGAAGCCCACGGUGGGAGAUUAAUUUCCUCCCGAACUCAGGAAGGGCAGGCAGUCAAUGCAAGAUCCUCCUGGCCCAUCCCAGGAGGAUGCUGCUCCUGGAUUCAUUCCUGGAGACAGCUGCUGUCCGACCUUGCCGUAAGACUUCCUUCCCCAGUGCUCUCCUCCUGGCCCUGCUGUAGCCCCUUGGGGUCUGAGUGCAGCCCAUGGGCACAGCCCAAGCCUUUUCCUUCCCUCCUUUGCUCUGCUGUGCCUCAAAUUCCUCUGCAAGCAACACUUCUGGGGGUGGGAAGCUGAAAUGAUGAGGUCCUUGUUUCUACUCCUCUAUGAUCUAUCUCCUAACGGAGAGGGAAACCUCAUCUCCUCAGAGAUCCAUCCUCCAGGGGCUGAGGAAUGAUUUACCUCCAUCCAUGUGGCUUGCGGUGCUGUAGGAUACUCUUAGGGGAAUUGGGUCCUUUCAGGGGGGAAAAACCCACUCCUGUGGUUCUCCUUAUCACUUUAGCUGCCCUCAAGCUCCUGUCCUCCCCGGAGCACAGGAGGAUUUGCACCUCGCUCGCGAUACCUCUUUUAGUUAACCAGCAUUACCCUGUCUUUCCUGGCUCUCCAAUCCUUCCUGUCCCAAAUGACAUUUCAGGACAGAUUCCUUAUGUAUUCUAAACUCCUCAAACACCCCCGAAACCAGCUGUGCAUUGUGCCUUUGCACCUGAAAUACUGCAGAAACAGCAGAGCACCUUCCACAUGGAGCUUUGCACUUGGUCUUUGUGACAAAGAAGCCUCUGUAGGCUCCCUGGUGCCUAUAGUUGCUGCACAAUGCUGGCAUUUCUCAAAUAAUAAAGGACGGGUUGCUCACACAAAUGCCAGAGCUGGGCUCAUUUUUGCUGUGCUCCAGGGGUGCCUGUUUCUAGACAUUCCCAUGAAUUAAGCUGAGCAAGCUGGCAGGGGAGGAACGGUCUCUGAAUGUUGGCAUGAAAAGCCCAACCACAAAUUCAACUGUCAUUGUCCUCCUGCUUUGAAAGCUUUAAGCCCUUCAAUUAAGGAGAAAUGACAAUACCCAGAGUGGGAUUCCUUUGCUCUUAGUUUGGCACCUAAAAGUGAGAUGUCUGACUUGAGAUGAACUAGUCACCGUCGGCUCCCUUUAUUUCCGAUGCAGAGGAAUAGGAAGAACCAGAGCGUGAUUCUAUCCUCAACAGUAUCUGAGAGAGGUCAGAUGAAUCACAGGCUAUAAAAGAAGCCAAAGUCGUGUGGCCAGGCAUAAAAGACUGCGCUUUAGGUGCAUAAACUUAACAGAGAUGAAUUCCUCUCCUGUGACUCAAGUGGUCGAUCACACGAUGCCGUGACAGGCAGACCAUGCUGAGUAAUGCUGCUCUGAUUUCAUGACUCGCCUUCAUUCCUGACUCUUUUUCCUGCCAGUGUGAAGGUGCAGCAUGGUGCUAUUGACUCAUUUCCUAGCUCUCAAUGGCAGGACUAUGCGAGGUAUUAUCUAGCUGGCCACCGAGCAUGUGCUUGACUUCUGGAGGAGCAAUUGUGGCCUUACCUCGUGCUUCCAUCUUGCUGUCCUUCCUGUCCUCCAAGACAAGGCAUCUUUGAAUUAAUGGAAGUGCUAACGGGCAAAGCAGCUCAACCUUGUGAUGCUGAGAGGUCAUGAUGUGAUGCUUGAGAGCUCAUGCUGACCAGGGAAGCUGGAGAAGAGGGCCUGGGAGAGGAGCAAGGAGGGGAAUGCAGUGGCGAUGAGACUGCGAAUUUGAGUCCUUUCAAAGACAGAAAUCAUCUAGCACAAGGUGUCAGAUCCUGGGCCGUCAGCACGUCUGGUGUCGGGACCAUCUCCAGGUGCCUGGACCAGGACACCUCCUGAGGGCCACCCCAACCUGAAUCACCCAACGGUGGAGGAGUCUGGAGGACCUGCUGGCUGGGCCAGAGGCAGGAAGCUGCAGAGAUGGCUGCUCCCACUGCCCUGGAUGACACAACCCAUCAGAGAGGCAUCAACGUGCCACCUUCCAGUGCAAGGGAGCAGUGAGAGUCCAAGAAGGAGUCAGCAAAUUGGCAAUUUCCACUCCUGUGCUGGUGGGGGAUCAUGCUCAUAUUUUAUGGCUGUUACAUGACAAACAAAAGUCAGUUGCAGAGUAUGGCAAGCUGCAGAGGAGUCCUGAGCAUCGGGGUGAAUGCUGCUUGGCAAACCCAGUUCCUUUUAGAGCACACCCUGCUUUACAGUUUUUACAUGGAAAGGAGCUGGGGAGAGGCCAUCCUGGGCUCCUUCUCUUUCUGCAAGAAAAACAAGAGAAGCCAGAGGAUAAAAGACCAAAAGACAAAAAUUGAAGCUCCAUCUCACAAAGCAGGAUUUCACCCAGCUUGUAGGGUUGCCACUGUCUGAUGAGCCAGUGAGACGCAUCCAAAUGGAUCUUGCAGGUCUUUUUUUUGGAGCACAGCUUGAUGAUUUUCCCUUUUGAAGCUUCUGCAUUGCUUCCCAUCUGUUUGCUUACUCAUGGAGGGAAAAUGUAUUCAUUAUUUACUUCUCUCCCUGAAAUUAUGUUUGUGGACUUCAAAGCUUCUCUUUAUGUCCUGUAGAGCGCCAGCCCUCUUUUAGUAAUAUACAUUUUGCUUCUCUUUUGGCAACUUGAUCAAAAGCUAAACACUGGUCAGAAAUUAUGUCUAAUUUUUUAAAUGAACAUGGCCAUCUAAAAACCUAAAAUUCCUACUAAUGCCCAUCCCAGCCUUGCAGAAACCCGUGUGAACCAUCCCAUUGAACUGUAGUUAGUGCAACUCCUCUCUGUGUAGUAUUAGGAGGCUGCAUGUCUGGAUGCAUGCAAGGAAAGCAGCAAAACACAAAGCUGGCUAAGGAAGUGUCAAUGGACUUGUUUUUCUGCAAACUGCUCCCUCUGCCUAGCUUGGCAAUCACUUGGCUGGAGGUAAAACAAGUGUCAGGUCUGCCUCCUGACUCAGCAGGCUUCAGCGUGUUCUUGCAUAAAGUGCAAGGAGUGCAAACACUGGAUAUCUGUGGGAGAAGCUGUUGAUCGGAGCAUGGGUGGUCACAUCUGGAGCUACAGCAGAAGCAAAGCUAGGUUACUAAAGCCAAGAUGAAGACAUCACAAGGCCAGGGGAUGUGACAGUCUGAAGGACACAAAAGAAACACCAUGGAACACCACAGAGGGUCAGCACAAGGAAAGGAAGUUGCUGAGAAUGGAAUCCUUGCCUUGAUCUCCUGUUGUCAACAGCAGACACCCACAUGCUUCACUUGGGUGGGUAAAACUGAGGAGGACAGCAUAGGAGGCUGUGGACAGAGAACUGUCCCAGGAUGAGAAGUGCAAAUAGACAGCUGCUGAGACAGGCCAGUUCAGUCCAGCACGCCAUGGACAAAAGUCACAGAGACUGUUUAUUUCUUUCUGUGAGAAUGGUGCAGAAUAGCCUGGAAGUUGUGAGCUGAACCCACAGAUAGCUAACAGCCACAAGAGCACAAGAAAGCUUGCAAAACAACAGCUCCUGCUUAGAUUUGGUGGCUUCAAAGAGUGUGACGCACAAAGCAUUGAGGAUACAGAGGGGGAGACCUCAUUAUCAGUCUGAGCCUAGCCACAGGCAGACAAGGAGACUGGAAGAAAAAGGACCAGGUGUGAUAACACAUAGAGAAAAAUCUGUCCUGACUUCCAUUCGAGAUUUUUUUGAAGAUUGGAUGGGGAGAUGGCAUACCCUGGCCACCAACUAAUUUCUUUGAGACACUGCCCUUGUGCUGAUACCUGUGUUGUGCUUCCCUGACUGUAAAACAGCAGUCCUUCCUGGGCUAGGAAGUCCCAGUUGUUUUGCUGGUAGAAGAAAGCAGAGGGUAUAAAUAGUUUGUCAGCUCUACCAGGCUGGCCUCCAGAGGUAAGUCCCAGAGCUGAGCUCAGGUUGACCUGUGCUUGCGGUGGCUGAAAUUUCAGAUCUCUCCAGGCUCCUCCAGGCUUUCCAGCCCCCAUGGAUUCAUCAGUUUUUACUUUUCUGGGAGUAUGUAAGCUGACAAAGACACUGACAGGUUAUUUCAAUUAACUUCCAGUCCCCUGGAAACCUAAGAGGAAGAGAUUUAGCUCAGCCCUGCCCUUGGCUUUUCCUAAGAUACUUCCACUAACUCAGCAUUGGUGAGGCUGCACCUGCAGUACUGCGCCCAGUUCUGGGCCCUCUGUUACAGGAGAGAUGUGGGCAUACUGGAAAGAGUCCAGCAGAGAGCCACCAAGAUGAUGGUGGGACUGGAGUACCUCUGUGGUGAGGAGAGGCUGAGAGCUGGGACCAUGCAGCCUGGAGAAGAGGACGCUCGGGGCGGGAGAUCUCAUCACUGUCUAUAAACACCAGAAAGGAGGGUGAAAACAAGACAUAGCCAGGCUAUUGUCAGUGGUGCCCAGUGCCAGGACCAGAGGCAAUGGGCACAAACUGGAGCACAGGAGGUUCCCUCUGAACAUCAGGAAUCACAUCUGUAUUGUGCAGCUAACAGAGCACUGGCACAGGUUGCCAGAGGGGUUGUGGAGUGUCCUCCUUGGAGACCUUCAAAAUCCACCAGGAUGUGGUCCUGGGCACCCUGCUGGAGGUGGCCCUGCUUGAGCAGGGGCUGGACCAGAUGGACCCAGAGGUCCCUUCCCACCCCAACCAGUCUGGGAUUCUGGGAUUCUGGGAUCUGUGUACUUGUGUUUGCAUACGUAUGUCUUUGAGUGCACAGAGAUCAGAAACCUCCUCCAAAUAAAUAAAAUAGUGAGCUUUUCAU